GAGGGCCUACGGGAGGCAGCAGUGAGGAAUAUUGGUCAAUGGGCGCGAGCCUGAACCAGCCAAGUAGCGUGAAGGAUGACUGCCCUACGGGUUGUAAACUUCUUUUAUAAAGGAAUAAAGUGAGGCACGUGUGCCUUUUUGUAUGUACUUUAUGAAUAAGGAUCGGCUAACUCCGUGCCAGCAGCCGCGGUAAUACGGAGGAUCCGAGCGUUAUCCGGAUUCAUUGGGUUUAAAGGGUGCGUAGGUUGUUUUAUCAGUUAGCGGUGAAAUACCGAUGCUCAACAUCGGGG
rnacentral:rRNA from 1 species